rnacentral:tRNA from 1 species
GCCAUCCUAGCUCAGCUGGUAGAGCAACGCAUUCGUAAUGCGUAGGUCGGCGGUUCGAGUCCGCUGGAUGGCU